rnacentral:rRNA from 1 species
UGGGGAAUAUUGCACAAUGGGCGCAAGCCUGAUGCAGCAACGCCGCGUGAGGGAUGACGGCCUUCGGGUUGUAAACCUCUUUUAGCAGGGAAGAAGCGAAAGUGACGGUACCUGCAGAAAAAGCGCCGGCUAACUACGUGCCAGCAGCCGCGGUAAUACGUAGGGCGCAAGCGUUAUCCGGAAUUAUUGGGCGUAAAGAGCUCGUAGGCGGUUUGUCGCGUCUGCUGUGAAAAUCCCGAGGCUCAACCUCGGGUCUGCAGUGGGUACGGGCAGACUAGAGUGCGGUAGGGGAGAUUGGAAUUCCUGGUGUAGCGGUGGAAUGCGCAGAUAUCAGGAGGAACACCGAUGGCGAAGGCAGAUCUCUGGGCCGUAACUGACGCUGAGGAGCGAAAGGGUGGGGAGCAAACAGGCUUAGAUACCCUGGUAGUCCACCCCGUAAACGUUGGGAACUAGUUGUGGGGUCCAUUCCACGGAUUCCGUGACGCAGCUAACGCAUUAAGUUCCCCGCCUGGGGAGUACGGCCGCAAGG